CAUAUCAAGGUGUAGCUAAACAACAAAGCACUCAGCUUACACCUGAGGGAUAUCUGCUUCUCAACCAGAUCA
rnacentral:tRNA from 1 species